rnacentral:RNase_P_RNA from 1 species
GGUAACUGAGCGGCCGCGCGCCUUGGCGUGAGGAAAGUCCGAGCUCCACAGGGCAGGGUGCCGGGUAAUGCCCGGCGGAGGCGACUCCAGGGAAAGUGCAACAGAGAGAUACCGCAUGCAUGGCAUGUAAGGGUGGAAAGGUGAGGUAAGAGCUCACCCGCAGUCUGGUAACAGGCUGUCGAUGUAAACCCCAUCCGGAGCAAGAAACGAAAGAGCGAUUGAGGCGGCCCGCCGAUGCUCUCAGGAUUUCGCUAGAGCCUGUUGGCGACAACAGGACCAGAUAGAUGGUCGCUAUUUACAGAACUCGGCUUACAGGUUA